GGAGAGUUGGCUCAGUGAUUAAGAGCACUAGCUGUUUUUCCAGAGGACCUGGGUUCAAUUCCCAGAAUCCA
rnacentral:tRNA from 1 species